rnacentral:misc_RNA from 1 species
AACUUUCGGCAACGGAUCUCUUGGCUCUCGCAUCGAUGAAGAACGCAGCGAAAUGCGAUACGUAAUGUGAAUUGCAGAAUUCAGUGAAUCAUCGAAGCUUUGAACGCACCUUGCGCCCCUUGGCAUUCCGAGGGGCACACCCGUUUGAGUGUCGUGAAAUCAUCAAAACCUUUUCCGUUGGGCAAAGUAUUUUGGACUGGGUGGGUCCAUGCUCUCUUUCGUUUGAAAGCGAGCUCGCCUCAAAUGAAUCAGUGGGAUCCGCUUUGCCGAUCCUUGACGUGAGAAGAUGCUUCUACGUAUUGGAUUUGGCACGGUCCCUUGGACGCCUGCUCCUCACCGUCCCCAUGGACAAUGACGGUGCUCCGGUCGACCGCGGAUGGACCCAAGAAAAGAAAACCUUGACCUCAACUCGGGUGAGACUACCCGCUGAACUUAAGCAUAUCAAUAAGCGGAGGCU